UGGGGAAUAUUGGACAAUGGGCGGAAGCCUGAUCCAGCCAUGCCGCGUGUGUGAAGAAGGCCUUUUGGUUGUAAAGCACUUUAAGCGAGGAGGAGGCUACUAGUACUAAUACUACUGGAUAGUGGACGUUACUCGCAGAAUAAGCACCGGCUAACUCUGUGCCAGCAGCCGCGGUAAUACAGAGGGUGCGAGCGUUAAUCGGAUUUACUGGGCGUAAAGCGUGCGUAGGCGGCUGAUUAAGUCGGAUGUGAAAUCCCUGAGCUUAACUUAGGAAUUGCAUUCGAUACUGGUCAGCUAGAGUAUGGGAGAGGAUGGUAGAAUUCCAGGUGUAGCGGUGAAAUGCGUAGAGAUCUGGAGGAAUACCGAUGGCGAAGGCAGCCAUCUGGCAUAAUACUGACGCUGAGGUACGAAAGCAUGGGGAGCAAACAGG
rnacentral:rRNA from 1 species